rnacentral:rRNA from 1 species
UACGGAGGGUGCAAGCGUUGUCCGGAUUUAUUGGGUUUAAAGGGUGCGUAGGCGGCCCUGUAAGUCAGUGGUGAAAUACUGCAGCUUAACUGUAGCAUUGCCAUUGAUACUGCAGGGCUUGAGUACAGAUGAGGUAGGCGGAAUUGAUGGUGUAGCGGUGAAAUGCGUAGAUAUCAGGAGGAACACCUGUGGUGUAGACGGCUUUCUGGACCAUAGCUGACGCUGAGACACGAAAGCGUGGGUAGCAAACAGG